AUUGAACGCUGGCGGCAUGCUUUACACAUGCAAGUCGAACGGCAGCGCGGGCUUCGGCCUGGCGGCGAGUGGCGAACGGGUGAGUAAUACAUCGGAACGUGCCCAGUAGUGGGGGAUAGCUCGGCGAAAGCCGGAUUAAUACCGCAUACGACCUGAGGGUGAAAGCGGGGGAUCUUCGGACCUCGCGCUAUUGGAGCGGCCGAUGGCAGAUUAGCUAGUUGGUGGGGUAAAGGCCUACCAAGGCGACGAUCUGUAGCUGGUCUGAGAGGACGACCAGCCACACUGGGACUGAGACACGGCCCAGACUCCUACGGGAGGCAGCAGUGGGGAAUUUUGGACAAUGGGCGAAAGCCUGAUCCAGCAAUGCCGCGUGUGUGAUGAAGGCCUUCGGGAUGUAAAGCACUUUUGGCGGGAACGAAAAGGACUGUGCCAAUACCACGGUUCGAUGACGGUACCCGCAGAAUAAGCACCGGCUAACUACGUG
rnacentral:rRNA from 1 species